rnacentral:piRNA from 1 species
AGGAGGCUGAUGUAAUGUCAAUAGUGAC